AGGUUGAAGGUGCGGUAAAACGCACUGGAGGACCGAACCAGGGCACGUUGAAAAGUGCUUGGAUGACUUGUGGGUAGCGGAGAAAUUCCAAACGAACUUGGAGAUAGCUGGUUCUCUCCGAAAUAGCUUUAGGGCUAGCGUCGACAUUAGAGAUUCUUGGAGGUAGAGCACUGUUUGGGUGAGGGGUCCAUCCCGGAUUACCAAUCUCAGAUAAACUCCGAAUGCCAAUGAAUUAUGGUCGGCAGUCAGACUGCGAGUGCUAAGAUCCGUAGUCGAAAGGGAAACAGCCCAGACCACCAGCUAAGGUCCCAAAAUAAUUGUUAAGUGGAAAAGGAUGUGGGGUUGCACAGACAACUAGGAUGUUAGCUUAGAAGCAGCUAUUCAUUCAAAGAGUGCGUAAUAGCUCACUAGUCGAGUGACCCUGCGCCGAAAAUGUACCGGGGCUAAAACAAUUUACCGAAGCUGUGGAUACCUUUAUAGGUAUGGUAGGAGAGCGUUCUAUGUGUGAAGAAGGUAUACCGUGAGGAGUGCUGGAACGCAUAGAAGUGAGAAUGCCGGUAUGAGUAGCGAAAGACAGGUGAGAAUCCUGUCCACCGUAAGACUAAGGUUUCCAGGGGAAGGCUCGUCCGCCCUGGGUUAGUCGGGACCUAAGGAGAGACCGAAAGGUGUAUCCGAUGGACAACAGGUUGAUAUUCCUGUACUAGAGUAUGUAGUGAUGGAGGGACGCAGUAGGCUAACUAAAGCAGACGAUUGGAAGAGUCUGUCUAAGCAGUGAGGUGUGAAUUGAGUUAAAUGCUUAGUUCUAUAACAUUGAGCUGUGAUGGGGAGCGAAGUUUAGUAGCGAAGUUAGUGACGUCACACUGCCAAGAAAAGCUUCUAGCGUUUAAACAUACUCUACCCGUACCGCAAACCGACACAGGUAGUCGAGGCGAGUAGCCUCAGGUGAGCGAGAGAACUCUCGUUAAGGAACUCGGCAAAAUGACCCCGUAACUUCGGGAGAAGGGGUGCUGGUAGCAAUACCAGCCGCAGUGAAUAGGCCCAGGCGACUGUUUAUCAAAAACACAGGUCUCUGCAAAAUCGAAAGAUGACGUAUAGGGGCUGACGCCUGCCCGGUGCUGGAAGGUUAAGAGGAGAGGUUAGCGCAAGCGAAGCUUUGAAUUGAAGCCCCAGUAAACGGCGGCCGUAACUAUAACGGUCCUAAGGUAGCGAAAUUCCUUGUCGGGUAAGUUCCGACCCGCACGAAAGGCGUAACGAUCUGGGCACUGUCUCAACGAGAGACUCGGUGAAAUUAUAGUACCUGUGAAGAUGCAGGUUACCCGCGACAGGACGGAAAGACCCCAUGGAGCUUUACUGUAGUUUGAUAUUGAGUGUUUGUGUCACAUGUACAGGAUAGGUAGGAGCUGAAGAAUCCGGGACGCCAGUUUCGGAGGAGGCAACGGUGGGAUACUACCCUUGUGACAUGACCACUCUAACCCGCACCCCUUACCGGGGUGGGAGACAGUGUCAGACGGGCAGUUUGACUGGGGCGGUCGCCUCCUAAAAUGUAACGGAGGCGCCCAAAGGUUCCCUCAGAAUGGUUGGAAAUCAUUCGUAGAGUGUAAAGGUAUAAGGGAGCUUGACUGCGAGAGCUACAACUCGAGCAGGGACGAAAGUCGGGCUUAGUGAUCCGGUGGUUCCGCAUGGAAGGGCCAUCGCUCAACGGAUAAAAGCUACCCUGGGGAUAACAGGCUUAUCUCCCCCAAGAGUUCACAUCGACGGGGAGGUUUGGCACCUCGAUGUCGGCUCAUCGCAUCCUGGGGCUGUAGUCGGUCCCAAGGGUUGGGCUGUUCGCCCAUUAAAGCGGUACGCGAGCUGGGUUCAGAACGUCGUGAGACAGUUCGGUCCCUAUCCGUCGCGGGCGU
rnacentral:rRNA from 1 species